UAAUUGAAGAGUUUGAUCAUGGCUCAGAUUGAACGCUGGCGGCAGGCCUAACACAUGCAAGUCGAGCGGUAGCACAAGGAGCUUGCUCCUGGGUGACGAGCGGCGGACGGGUGAGUAAUGUCUGGGAAACUGCCCGAUGGAGGGGGAUAACUACUGGAAACGGUAGCUAAUACCGCAUAACGUCUUCGGACCAAAGUGGGGGACCUUCGGGCCUCACACCAUCGGAUGUGCCCAGAUGGGAUUAGCUAGUAGGUGAGGUAAUGGCUCACCUAGGCGACGAUCCCUAGCUGGUCUGAGAGGAUGACCAGCCACACUGGAACUGAGACACGGUCCAGACUCCUACGGGAGGCAGCAGUGGGGAAUAUUGCACAAUGGGCGCAAGCCUGAUGCAGCCAUGCCGCGUGUGUGAAGAAGGCCUUCGGGUUGUAAAGCACUUUCAGCGAGGAGGAAGGGUUCAGUGUUAAUAGCACUGUUCAUUGACGUUACUCGCAGAAGAAGCACCGGCUAACUCCGUGCCAGCAGCCGCGGUAAUACGGAGGGUGCAAGCGUUAAUCGGAAUUACUGGGCGUAAAGCGCACGCAGGCGGUUUGUUAAGUCA
rnacentral:rRNA from 1 species